rnacentral:lncRNA from 1 species
CAAGGAGGUGGCAAACGUGUGCAACCAGAGCCUGAUGAAGCUGGUCAUCCCAGAGGAUGAUGAAAUGGAUGAGGCCAAGCCAUCAAUGACUAUGCCAGCAGAGCCCACCUCAGAGGAGUCCCUUUCCAAGCCAGAGGCAGUGACCACCGGUACCCUGGAUGCAUCUGGUGACUCCAGCAACAGUGGU